rnacentral:tRNA from 1 species
GAAUCAUUAGUUUAGUGGAAUAAUUUAUUUACGAUAAAGAGGUUAGGUGAUUCU